rnacentral:rRNA from 1 species
UCUAAGGUCAUACCAUCCUGAGCACACCUAAUCUCAUCUGAUCUCAGAAGCUAAGCAGGGUUGAGCCUGGUUUGUAUUUGUAUGGAAGAUAAUAAGAGAGUAAUUAGUGGAUGUGCUAC